UACGUAGGUGGCAAGCGUUGUCCGGAUUUACUGGGCGUAAAGAGCGCGCAGGCGGUCGUUCAAGUCGAAUGUGAAAUCCCCCGGCUCAACUGGGGAGGGUCAUUCGAUACUGAUCGACUCGAAGGCAGGAGAGGGAAGCGGAAUUCCCGGUGUAGUGGUGAAAUGCGUAGAUAUCGGGAGGAACACCAGUGGCGAAGGCGGCUUCCUGGCCUGUUCUUGACGCUGAGGCGGCGAAAAGCUGAGGGGAGCAAACGGGGAU
rnacentral:rRNA from 1 species